rnacentral:lncRNA from 1 species
UGAAACUUUGUAGAUUGAGCAUAUUUUUCCAGACUGAUAUGUGAGCUAGGAUGUGGAAACACUUGCCAGGGGAUUUGUGAAGCUUUAGGUUUUGUUACCCUUACAUUUCUUGUGUCUUUAUUUGUGACUGACUAAACUUCUUGUUUGGAUUCUAAGUUUUGGUUGGAUUCAUUGCUAACCUUGUAGUUUGACUGGCAGUCUUGCAGUUCUUGUGGGUUUAGAGGUCGUGUAAUUUGGGGAGGAUUUGUCUGGCAGAAUUUCUAACCACUUAAUAUGAAGUACUGAAUUAAUAAUAGUGAAAAAAAGAUAAAGAAAAUAUAUCAUGGUCAUUAAAAGUUUAUGUUUCUUGUUCUGUUCAGCCAUGCCACUUGUCAGUGAACUCUUGCUUCUUUCUCUAUUGCUGCAUAUGCAUUUGUGACUGACUAAACUUCUUGUUUGGAUUCUAAGUUUUGGUUGGAUUCAUUGCUAACCUUGUAGUUUGACUGGCAGUCUUGCAGUUCUUGUGGGUUUAGAGGUCGUGUAAUUUGGGGAGGAUUUGUCUGGCAGAAUUUCUAACCACUUAAUAUGAAGUACUGAAUUAAUAAUAGUGAAAAAAAGAUAAAGAAAAUAUAUCAUGGUCAUUAAAAGUUUAUGUUUCUUGUUCUGUUCAGCCAUGCCACUUGUCAGUGAACUCUUGCUUCUUUCUCUAUUGCUGCAUAUGCAUUUUUUUCGCAAUUUUUACUCAUUUUUUUUAGGUUGUCCAUUUCUAAGUAAUUUAGGCUUCUCAUAGCUUUUACGAGUCCUGGAUUUAUAGUGAAAUUUGACCCUUUUACAUGGAGCAAUUGAAAUUAAGGAGAGAAUUAUUGAUCUUUAGUUUUAUAGUACUGAAUUAAUUUUGGAUUUGCUUAGGUGUAGCAAAUUUGAAAGGUCAUUUUCUUAGUUAUUACUUCAUUUACUAAAUUAUCAAGAGCAUUGGACAAUUUGAUUUUGUAGUGUUUUGUUUGCUGCAUUGACAAAUGAAUCUUGCAUUCUAUUGUUUUUAGUAGUUUUGGAUUACAUUCUGAAUAUGACAUAUGAUGAUCUCUUCUAUCUUCCAAAAUGUGAAUGAUCUCCAACAUUAGAGUUGUAUUUAGUUCUAUGUCCAAUGUGAGAAUGAGAAAAUUGAGAGCUCUAUUUAGUUUUAUUCCAAUUAUCUCUCUAAUAUGAGAAUGAGAUACAACAGUAGUUGGAAUGUUUUCUUGCAAUCUUCCUGUGCUAUGAUUCAGUUCUCUCUCCAUAUAUAGAAUAAGAAAAUGAGAAAGAGAAACAAGAAUAUUUGUCAUGUUUUGUCGUAAUCUUCUUGCACUAUGAUUCGGUUCUCUCCCAAUAUACCAAUGAGAAAAUGAGAAACAACAAUAUUUGGAAAGUUUUGUCGUAAUCUUCUUGCGCCAUGAUUCGGUUCUAUCCCCAAUAUGCGAACGAGAUGAGAAACAACAGUGUAUGAGAGCUCCAUUUAGUUCUAUCUCCAAUAUGAGAAUUGGAAAACAACAGUACAUGAGAGUUCUAUUUAGUUUUAUCUCUAAUACGAUAAAGAAGAGAAACAAAAGUAUUUGGAUUGUUCUCUUUGUAAUCUUCGUGUGCUAUGAGCAACGCCUACCCUCGAGGCUAUGGUAACGGGUGAUGCCUCUCUAUUCCAACAUGAGAGCUCUAUAUAUUUCUUUCGGGUUGGGGUCUCAAUUUAUGAUACCAUGUGGAAGCAGACACCAUCUUUUUGCCGACUAUAUUUCUUAGUCUUGCUGAUUUUGCCAUGCUGAACUUGGUUUUCUUGAAUUGCCAUGCUUCUUAAACUUUUACAGUAAGGCAAUAGAUAUGUGGGGGCAGGUUUUGGAAACAGUGGAUGGAGAUCUCGUGAAACUUUAGAUUUUAUUAUCUUUGCAUAUUCAUUAUUUUCUUUGAUGGCUAAACUUGUGGAUUGGGAGUUCUUGUAAACAGGCACUACGUGAGUUUGAGAGGCUUUGGCAUUUGUGUUGUUAGGCCUUCGAUCCUGAUGAUUUGAUAAUCUGUUGCAGUGAAGACUUUAUGGAUGUUUGUUACCCAGUUACGGUACAUCAUUGGACUUACAUUUCCAUUUCAUUAUUUUUUUAUAUCCAUGAUUUGGUUGUGGUAUCUCUUAUUGGUUGAAUAGUGGGAAGGCACAUGUGACAGUAGUUGUGUGUGUCUAAGCAAGUGCGAUAGUUGAUUCCGAACAUUAUGAUCAUUGAAGUUACCCUUGACUAGUCUAUGUUAGUUUUUUUUAUAUGAUAUACAAGUACAUCCAUCCUUUGUUAACAACAAUCCUUUUGAAAUAGGAUUUGUUUAAGCGCUAGUUUCGGCACGAAUAUGCAAGUUCAACUUGAAACCAGUUCAUGAUAACCUAAUUUCUUCUGAGGUUCCAGCUUUUAUUAGUUUUCAUUCGGAGUAUGUACAAGUUUGAAAAGGUAUCAUUGUGUUGAUAUAUGCUCGUUUUAGUCUAGCUAUCUUCUCCCUUAAUUGUUACUUUGACAGGGUAGGUGUGAGGUUUUUGGAUUACAAAUUGUACCAACUGUAUGUAAAGUUUGAAAUAUGUGAUGCUUUGUCAAAUGUUUUCUAGGAGUAUACUUGUGAUUUGUUUAUCUGUAGCUGUGUUUGGAUGCUUUGCAUACUACAUCUUAUGGAGUAUGUAUGGUUUUCGCUUGGUGUCCUUCACCUCGUGGAGUAUGUUAUGAGCGACCGUUUGUCCCUUGGUUUUUUAAUUCUUGAAAUUAUCUUAUAGUUCUAUACUUCGUCCUCUAUUACCAGUUAUAGUUUGUUGAAUUCUUGUUCUUUCCAGGGAUGUAAAUAAUGGCAAGAUAUUCCUUGAACGGUGAAGCAUUGGUUUUUUUUUUACUCUUACAUCAAUUUUUUCUUUCUUUUGCAUUAAUUCUUAAGUGGCUAAACUUGUUGGUUGGAUCUUUACUUAAUUUAUAAUGGAGGGCCAUUGAAUGUCCAAUUUUAAUACAUGAUAUGACAAAAGGAUUGAAUUAUGAUAUUGUCUCCUUGAAGCUUGAAUUUAUGAUCGUGUCUCUGUGCGCUGUGAUCUUAGUCACAUUGGUGGUAUAGGCAAAUUGAAAAGAAAGAUCUUGGAGUCAUUCCUUUCAUUUUAGUAGAGAUAAUUACCAAGAGAUCAAGACUAUUUGACUUCAAUUUUUUCGUUACAAAACUUUAUUUUGUCUUUAUUACUUUCCUUCAUUGACAAAUGAAUUUUGAACUUGGGUUCUUGCCUAAUUUGUGUUGCAAGAUUAUUGAUCUUUUGUAUUGGAGUUCCAAAAAUUAUAUAGUCACAAGACUAUAAUUUCAUGAGUCUUGACUUUGCUAUUCUUAUUCGGAGGGUCUGUACUAUGUAUGUUUUGUCUUUUCUGUUUUAAAGUGUUUUUCCUUGUUUUUAUUUGUGUGGUUCAGACUGAAUAAAUGAGAUACCGAUUUUCUUGUUCUCCUCAUGUUACAUCAACCAUUUUAUUGCUACUUUUAUUCAUUUGCAAAGGCUAAGUAUAAUAUUAUUUCUUCAGAUUUCUUUGUACUUGAUAGUAAAUUUUUAGGUGUUGCAUAGCGCUUGAUAUGACUUUCUCUAUUGGAUUUUCAUUCUUGAAUUUAUGAAUUCAUCUUGUCUAGAUUCUAUACUUCUAUUAAGAGGGCCUCGUAUGACUUUCUCUAUUUUAUGGAUUUGGAAGUGUUUUUUAAAUUUAUAAAAUCUAGAACUCUUUUUUGGAUUUGAAAUAAGCCUAUGAAUUAUGUAAUCAUGAUUUAUUCUAGAUUACAUAAUUCGGAAGUCAAUCUCAUAUUUAGAAAAGACUUUUGGAUUAUGUAAUUCUAAAGUUAAUCACACAUCUUAAAAAAAGGUUGUUUUCGGAUUACAUAAUUCGAAAGUUAAUCUUAUGUAUAAAAAAGACUUUCGGAUUAUGUAAUUUGGAGGCUAAUCAUAAAAGGCUUUUGGAUUACAUAAUUUGGAUCUAGAAAAAGACUUUUGGAUUAUGUAAUCUGGAAUAUUAAAAAAUGGUAUUUUGGAAUACAAAAAAUUUAUGGAGUGACACAAGAAGGUACAAAGGUGCAUGAAGAAGCAACCUUUGUAGUUUCUAUAACUUCUAUUAAAAGCAGUGGUAGUUUUCUUUAAUUUUUGGGCUUUACAGCUAACCCGACCAAUGAAACAUUUGAAAGUAUGGACUUGAUCACCCAAUCUAUGGGUUGAAUUGUGAAGGCAAUUUCUUCUUGUACCAUAUCAAUUCUAACCUUCAUCUUAUCAUUUUUCAAAAUUUCUAAAAUUUUCCUUAUACCAGAUUUAAAAAUCUGGAAUAGUAAAAAUAAUUUAAAAAUAAAAAAUAUAUUUUGGAUAAAAAAAAUCUAGAACACAAUUAAAAAUGCAUUUUAGAUAAAAAAAAUUGGAAUUCAAAAAUGUGUUCUGGAAUAUUUCUGGAUAAAAGGUUUUGGAAGUAAUUUUUAUUUACACCCUUCUUUUUUUAAGGUUAUUUUGUCAUUUUGGAAGGCCAUUUUUGUAAUCUUCAAUACCAGGUUGGGUGCAUGUUGGAAUUAAUAUGGUGCACGGAGCAAUUGCCAACUGUGAACUGGUUUCUAUACUAAAAUAUUUGGAAAUGUUUAUGGUAAUCUUUUUGUGUUGUGUUGAGCCUAUGAGCAGCUCCCUUACUUUGUCAUCUCUUUAAGAGAGUUUAGUUUUCUUGAAUCCCAUGGUUCUUGUUGAGAUUUUACGGGAAGGCAAUAGAUAUAUGUGGGCAGGUUUGGAUAACAGUGAAGAAGGAGGUUCAUUAAACUAAUUUAAAUGUUAUCCUGAAAUUUAAUGUUAGGUAAACCAGAAACUAAAUCUUUAGAUUUCAAUUUAUUUACGUGAUUAGUGUGUAUGUGAGCUAACCUCCUGUGCCAUAGCCAAGACUCAUCACUUCUAGACAGUAAACACUCAUUUGAAGAGUCAGUUUCCAUGAUAUUCAAAAGAUAUAUGUUAUUCACUCUCUUACCAGUAAACAGUACCUUACUAAAUGAAUCACUUGAGAUUGUGCAGCUAUUUGACUUAAAAUUCACCUUGUAUCCUUUGUCACAAAGCAAAGUUGACUUAUGCUGAGAAGGCUAUGCUUGAGUCCUUCUACGUAAAGCACAUUCUCAAUAGUGGUUGAGUUCCCUGUUUCAACUGUGCUUCUGCCCAAAAUUCUUCCUCGGUUAUUAUCACCAUAUGUUACAUGUCCUUCUGCUUUGAGCUUCAAGCUAGUGAAUUUUGUAAGAUCUCCAGUCAUAUGCUUGUAACAGCCACUGUCCAAGUACCACUGAUUUUUCUUGCUGCCAAUCUGCAAAACAGAAUAAAAAUGAUACAAAUGGUACCCUUUUUAGUAUAGGGUCCAGCACAUAUUAAAACAUUCUCUUUGGUAGCCAUUUUGCUAAAUUCUUAGGAACAAGAUGCUUUCUAGCAAUGCAAGACCUAGAGAUAUGACCAGAUUUCAUGCAGUAAAAACAGGUUACAUGAGAUGCUUUUUUCCCACUAUUAAAAGUUGAAAAACCUGAUUUUGUUGGAACAAAAAAACUUGAAAGCUUUUUGACACUGGUUACAUUUCCAAUGGUAUAACCAAGUCCAUUUUUAUUGAAAACAACAUUCUUUGAGCCAAGAAGAGACUCAAGUUCCCUUAGUGAAAUUGGAAAGGGUUUUUAGCAAAUACUCCACUUGUUUUUCCAAUUUUUUGCAGUUUUCACAGGUUUUAAUAGAGGCAUGCAAGCAUGUUAGUUCAAGGUUUACCAAAUCUGUUUUGGCCUUAUGCAAUUCUUCCUCAAGUGUUUUUACUUUAGGUGCAAGCACAUUAUUUACCUUUUGCAUCUUAUUGCAUAUUACAGCUAGCCUAUUUGCUUCAUCAUGUGUUUCUUUGAAAGCAACAAGCAAUUGAUCAUAGUUAUCUGAAUCCACAGAAAAAAUCACUUAUUGAAUCAGAUAUUGACUCCUCAUCCUUCAUCAUGAAGCACAAAUUGUUUUCACCAUUCUCAGUUGAAGAGUUGCCGGUUGAAGAUACUUCAUUUUCCUCCCAUGAGAUGUAAGCUCUUCUUUUCGUCUUCAGGAAUUUGCUGAAUCUUUUUGUAAGAAGACUGAUUGUUUCAUCAUCUUCAGCAUCUUCUUUUUCCUCCUUGAUAUCAUUAUGUUCAGUUGCUUUCAAUGUAAGACCUUUCGGUUUUCUCUAUGUUAUUUCCUGCUCUUUGAGUCUCUUGAGCUCUAGCUCAUGCUCCAUUAGCUUUCCAAAGAGUGCAUCUGUUCCUAGCUUUGAUAGAUCACAGUUUUUAGAUAUGGCAGUCACCUUUGGUUGCCAGCUUCUGUCGAGGCACUUCAAUAUUUUUAUGUUGAGUUCCUCUCUGUCAAAUUCAUUUCCCAAACCAGUAAGGUGAUUCACAAUACGAGUGAACCUUUUCUGCACAUUAGCAAUGCUCUCCUCGGGUUGCAUUUUAAACAAUUCAUAUUCUUGGAUGAGAGCAUGUUUUCUUGACCUCUUCACAUCUUCAGUACUCUCAUGAGUGACUUCUAAGACUUCCCACAUCUCCUUAGCUGACUUACAUUGGGAUAUCGUAAAGAACUCAUCCAUUGUUAAUGCAGAGGUUAUGAUGUUCUUGGCCACAAGAUCAUGUUGAGCCUUCCUCCUUUCGGUCUCAUUCCAUUCAAAUCUUGGCUUUACCACUUCUUCAUCCUUGACAACCUACAUUGGCACAUAGGGUCCAUGAACCACAACUUUCCAGAUUAAUGCAUCAAUAGAUUCCAUGAAAAUUCGCAUUCUAAUCUUCCAAAAUGCAUAAUUCAUUCCAUUGAACAUAGGUGGUCUAUUAACGGCAGAUCCCUCAGCAAAAAGCACUUUAAACUCAUACAUUAUUACAAACAAACUUGAUUAAAAUACAAGUCCUAGCUCUUGAUACCAAUUGUUGGGAUUAAUAGUGUCAAAGUUCAAGAGGGGGUGAAUUGAUCUUUUAAAAGUUUCUCGCAGAACCAAUAUUUUUCACAGAGUACAAAAAAUAAAUCGAUUUAUUUGAAAUUGAACAAAUUUAUUUUAGCACUAUUUGUGUUUGAAAAACGUUUAGACAGUCAGGUUAAUUACAAGAUUAUGCAGAUCGAUUUUCCAGAUACACACACUGAUAUAAUGAAGAAAAACUAUUCAUUUACAGAUGAACAGAUUUAUUUUUCAAAACGAAAACAGAAAAAGCUUAACUAUUUAAAACUCAGUCGUUUUGAAAGGUAGAAGACUUAGUCAAAAUGCUUGAUGCACAAAAUCUAAUUUUCACAAGACUUAGCCAAUGUAUCAGUUUAAAAAAGAAUCUGUUUAUUUAGAAAAGAACAGAUUUAUUUUUAUGCAGUAAACGUGUUUUUUGUAAAAUAUGUGAAAAACAGUUUAAGAAACCUUAUACUUGUUCUUAUCACAUGGUCAAUGGUUAGGAGGUGAGUUACUCAGCAAAAAGCCUACUCUUAAACAACCUCUAAACACUACCUAAGACAUUCUUAAAACAAAUGUAAAUAUACAUGAAUUGUACACAAAAGUCUUCAUCAAACACAUGUCUUGAAGGGGCAGCAACCAUCUUCAACAAUCUCCCCCUGUUUGAUGGAGACAAAUCCCCAUAGCUCUGUCGCUUUAAGAACCUGUACUGCACCGAAUACUAAACCAGAAAAACAGAACAUUGCAUAACAUGUGAAAUGGUUUUAAGGUGCAAAAUUUAACUUCCUGUUUCAGCUAGCUUCACCUAGCAUGGUGAGCUAUUUUUCCCCCCCUUUGGAUUCAUCAAACAGCAUGUAAGCAUAGGAAAAAAAAAACAAAAACAUAACCAUAAUAGUCCAAAAGAUAAAGACACAUUGUUCAACAUUACAGAAUUUUAAAACUGAUAAAGAAAGCAUGAAAAUACUUCUAAUCCUUGUAGUAUAGCUCUGCAAGUUGUACUUGAACUCCUUCAAUUUGAUCAUCAAGGUGUUGAAACCUUGCUUGAGUGGUCUCAAAAUAUGCCCUUUGUUCUGCUGUCAUGACAUCAAGGCAAUGCAAAACUUGCCUUUCAAACAUGGACAAUGGUUCACCAUGGUAUUCUGGAGUUUGAUAGGCCACAAUGACAUUCAGAUGAGUGGCAACAGCUUCUUCAUGCAUUGAUUGGGGAGCAGGUGAGUCUCCUCUGAGUUCUACAGAUGGAGAGCUUGUCCUUUGAUUUCCAGCAUGUUCAACAGAUUGCUCUUGACCAUAGGAGUGAUGGAUAACAUAACAUGAAUGUUCUGCAGCUUGAACUGUGUCAUCCUCCAUGGGAACAACUUCAUCCUCAUCUUCAUUGUUGAGGUUUGAGGCUCCAUGUUCUGCUUGAGGGUUCUUGCCUUUGAGAACCACCCAAUUGUCCUCUACUUUGUGAAAUCCCAUCUUUGUGAGAGUUGAAUUGUCAAUCUCACUUACAGCCUUGAUGGGGUCGUUUCUCUCAUUUAUAGCAUCAACACCAAAGAAAUCAAUCAAUUUUGAAACAAAAAUAGCAUAAGGAAAGCAAUAAUCAGCCAACCUUUUGGAUUUCAGCAUGUGUUCAUUUAUAAUGAAAACCCAGUUUACCUUAAUCUAGUUCAUGAUGCAAUAUAGAAGGAUUAAAUCUUCUUCAUGUAAAACAACAUGAUUUGUACCACUUGGGAUGAGUUGCCAUGCUAUAAUGUAGGUAACAAGACGUGGUGUAAGGUUCAAAUGACUUGCAUGGAACCUGUUUAUGCUCUGUGUAGGGUUCCUCAUACAGCUCUUAUAAUAUUGCAGUUUGUUGAAUUCUUGAAUCCCACUGGUGUUUCCUUUUCCAACUUUUAGUCCAGCAUACUUGAUUCCAGCCAUUGAAUUCCAAACAUCACUUGUGAUCUUCAUUUUGAUCCUUUUUCACAUAAGAGACAAUGUUCUUUCCAUCCAAUGUUAGGUUAGUGUAAAACACCUUAACCAAAUCAAGAUAUACAUUACCCGUUAAUUCCAGCAGCUUUUUCAGUUUCUGGUGCUUCAACACAGCCCUUGUUUCUGCCAAUUUUUUUGAUUUUAGCCAGUUGAAAUCUAGCACCUUAGGUAUGUUAAUCUGCUUUCUACAUGUCUCGUGCAUGUAGGCAUUGAUACCUUCUUCAUUUCCAGCGAACCAACCUUCUAGCACACCUUGAAAGGUGGUUUGCUUGCCAUUAUUUUUCUGUUUCUGUCUUGAAGAAGAAGCCAUGGUUGAACCAGAAUUUUCUCUUGGUUUCAAAUGGUGAAAACGGAAAAUAGGUAGCCAAUGUGGGUAGCAAAUAUUCGCACAGAUUUAUAUUGAGAAAUGAAUAGGUUGAUAUGACAGUUAUGAGUGGAUAUGCAUGAAGAUUUUAUGCUCUGAAUUUGUGCAGAGAAUAUAUGCAACAAAUAUUUAGGGUCACGAUGCAUACAACUCAUACCUUCAUUGAGCACCCAAACCAUCAAAUCGGUUACAUAACCAUGACCAAAACCGUCAAAGGUACAAAGGUUAAUGCCCACUAAGUCAGUCAAUCAGUCAAAGAUCAGAAUUUCUCUUUCCUAGUCAUCAAUGCAUAUCAGUACAAAAAUAAACACAUUUAAUUACGAAUAAACAUAUUUAAUUUUUCACUGCUAGGCACAAUUGACAUUUAUAAUACCCAAUUCAUUAAGCAGAAAAUUAAACCUAUCCUUAGCCAAUGGUUUUGUGAACAAAUCAGCAAGUUGUAAAUCUGUACCAAUGAAUUUAAUCUCACAUGUUCCAUUUGAAAUGUGUUCCCUUAGAAAAUGAUGCCUAAUUUCAAUGUGUUUGGUUCUUGAAUGCAUGACAGGAUUUUUGGUUAAGUUGAUUGCACUUGUAUUAUCACACAACAGAGGUAUAUGGUUAAGUAAGAUACCAAAAUCAUUUAAUUGUUGUCUUAGCCAUAUGGUUUGAGCACAGCAACUCCCUGUUGCAAUGUAUUCCGCUUCAGUCGUGGAGAGAGCUACACAAGCCUGCUUUUUGCAUUGCCAUGAGAUCAAGUUUGAUCCAAGCAAGUGACAGGUUCCACUGGUGCUCUUCCUAUCAAUUUUGCAACCUGCAAAGUCUGAAUCCGAAUAUCCAGUUAAGCUUAAUGAAAUGUUACUUGGAUACCACAAGCCAACUUCUUUAGUUCCUUGCAAAUACUUCAAAAUCCUUUUGGCAGCAUUGUAGUGUGAUUCUUUAGGAGCAGAUUGAAAUCGAGCACACAUGCACACUGCAAACAUUAUGUCAGGCCUGCUGGCAGUGAGAUACAGUAGUGAUCCUAUGAGUCCUCUGUAUUUGGUUUCAUCAACAGAAAUUCAAGCUUCAUCAUGAUCCAAGUGACAACUUGUUGAGAAGGGUGUGCUGAUUGGUUUACACUUGUCCAUUUCAAAUUUCUUCAGCAGAUCCUUGCAGUACUUAGCUUGACUUAAGAAAAUGCCAUCCUUGAGUUGUUUGACCUGCAAGCCUAGAAAAUAGUUCAACUCACCCAUCAUUGACAUUUCAAACUCACUCUUCAUGACUUUCACGAAAGCUUCACACAAUUCUCCAUUGUUUGAUCCAAAAAUGAUGUCAUCCACAUAUACUUGUACUAGGAUUAUGUCAUCUCCUUUCUUCUUAAUGAACAAGGUCUUAUCUGAUGUGCCUCUAUCAUAGCCUUGAGAGGUGAGAAAAUCACUUAGCCUCUCAUNNNNNNNNNNNNNNNNNNNNNNNNNNNNNNNNNNNNNNNNNNNNNNNNNNNNNNNNNNNNNNNNNNNNNNNNNNNNNNNNNNNNNNNNNNNNNNNNNNNNNNNNNNNNNNNNNNNNNNNNNNNNNNNNNNNNNNNNNNNNNNNNNNNNNNNNNNNNNNNNNNNNNNNNNNNNNNNNNNNNNNNNNNNNNNNNNNNNNNNNNNNNNNNNNNNNNNNNNNNNNNNNNNNNNNNNNNNNNNNNNNNNNNNNNNNNNNNNNNNNNNNNNNNNNNNNNNNNNNNNNNNNNNNNNNNNNNNNNNNNNNNNNNNNNNNNNNNNNNNNNNNNNNNNNNNNNNNNNNNNNNNNNNNNNNNNNNNNNNNNNNNNNNNNNNNNNNNNNNNNNNNNNNNNNNNNNNNNNNNNNNNNNNNNNNNNNNNNNNNNNNNNNNNNNNNNNNNNNNNNNNNNNNNNNNNNNNNNNNNNNNNNNNNNNNNNNNNNNNNNNNNNNNNNNNNNNNNNNNNNNNNNNNNNNNNNNNNNNNNNNNNNNNNNNNNNNNNNNNNNNNNNNNNNNNNNNNNNNNNNNNNNNNNNNNNNNNNNNNNNNNNNNNNNNNNNNNNNNNNNNNNNNNNNNNNNNNNNNNNNNNNNNNNNNNNNNNNNNNNNNNNNNNNNNNNNNNNNNNNNNCAAUUCAUUUUGAUUUAAAACAGAUUUAAAUUCAUUACUGUCAAGAUCAUCAGCAGCAGUUUUAGAUAUGUUAUGAUCAGUUUCAUAAAAAACAACAUGCAUUGAUUCUUCUACUAUGAACAAUCUUUUAUUGAAGACUCUAUAUGCAUGAUCAUUCAAAGCAUAACCAAUGUGCACACCUUCAUCAGAUUUAGCAUCAAACUUACCAAGAUUUUCUUUGCCAUUAUUCAAUACAAAGCAUUUACACCCAAAAACUCUAAGGUGGCUCACACUAGGUUUUCUGCCCUUAUACAAUUCAUAUGGGGUUUUCUUAAGAAUAAGUCUUAUUAAGGUUCUAUUCAACACAUAAGUUGCAGUAUAUACUGCAUCUGCCCAAAAAUACUUAGGGAGCUUAGAUUCAUUUAACAUGGUUUUAGCUAGUUCCUCUAAUGAUCUGUUUUUCUUUUCAACUACACCNNNNNNNNNNNNNNNNNNNNNNNNNNNNNNNNNNNNNNNNNNNNNNNNNNNNNNNNNNNNNNNNNNNNNNNNNNNNNNNNNNNNNNNNNNNNNNNNNNNNAUUUGUUUACCUUUCACACAAGCAUCACAGAGCCUGUUAUCCUUAAAUUUAAUGUUAGGUAAACCAGAAACUAAAUCUUUAGAUUUCAAUUUAUUUAAGUGAUUAGUGUGUAUGUGAGCUAACCUCCUGUGCCACAACCAAGACUCAUCACUUCUAGACAGUAAACACUCAUUUGAAGAGUCAGUUUCCAUGAUAUUCAAAAUAUAUAUGUUAUUCACUCUCUUACCAGUAAACAGUACCUUACUAGAUGAAUCACUUGAGAUUGUGCAACCAUUUGACUUAAAAUUCACCUUGUAUCCUUUGUCACAAAGCUGACUUAUGCUGAGAAGGCUAUGCUUGAGUCCUUCUACAUAAAACACAUUCUCAAUAGUGGUUGAGUUCCCUGUUCCAACAGUGCCUUUACCCAAAAUUCUUCCUCGGUUAUUAUCACCAUAGGUUACAUGUCCUUCUGCUUUGAGCUUCAAGCUAGUGAAUUUUGUAAGAUCUCCAGUCAUAUGAUUGGAACAGCCACUGUUCAAGUACCACUGAUUUUUCUUGCUGCCAAUCUGCAAAACAAAAUAAAAAUGAUACAAAUGGUACCCUUUUCAGUAUAGGGUCCAGCACAGAUUAAAACAUUCUCUUUAGUAGCCAUUUUGCUAAAUUCUUAGGAACAAGAUGUUUUCUAGCAAUGCAAGACCUAGAGAUAUGACCAGAUUUCAUGCAGUAAAAACAGGUUACAUGAGAUGCUUUUUUGCCACUGUUAAAAGUUGAAAAACCUGAUUUUGCUGGAACAAAAAAACUUGAAAGCUUUUUGACAUUGGUUACAUUUCCAGGGGUAUAACCAAGUCCAUUUUUAUUGAAAACAGCAUUUUGUGAGCCAAUAAGAGACUCAAGUUCCCUUGGUGAAAUUGGAAAGGGUUUUUAGCAAAUACUCCACUUGUUUUUCCAACUUUUUGCAAUUUUCACAGGUUUUAAUAGAGGCAUGCAAGCAUGUUAGUUCAAGGCUUACCAAAUCUGUUUUGGCCUUAUGCAAUUCUUCCUCAAGUGUUUUUACUUUAGGUGCAAGCACAUUAUUUACCUUUUGCAGCUUAUUGCAUAUUACAGCUAACCUAUUUGCUUCAUCAUGUGUUUCCUUGAAAGCAGCAAACAAUUUAUCAUAGUUAUCUGAAUCCACAGAAAAAUCACUUACUGAAUAUUGACUCCUCAUCCUUUAUCAUGAAGCACAGAUUGUUUUCCUCAUUCUCAGUUGAAGAGCUGUUGGUUGAAGAUACUUCAUUUUCCUCCCAUGAGAUGUAAGCUCUUCUUUCCUUGCUCCUUUCCACUCUCUUGCUGGCAGAUUUAUCCUUUGAUUGAUUGUUUGGACAAUUCAUUUUGAUGUGCCAUGUUUUGCCACAGCCAAAGCAAGUAUAGUUAGAGGAAUUUAAAUAAUUAGGUUUUGGAUACAUUCUUUUCUGCUGGUUCCUAUUUCUGCUUUUCUUCUUCAAGAAUUUGCUGAAUCUUUUUGUAAGAAGACUGAUUGUUUCAUCAUCUUCGGCAUCUUCUUUUUCCUCCUUGAUCUCAUUCUGUUCAGUUGCUUUCAGUGCAAGACCUUUGGGUUUUCUCUCUGUUCUAGCUCAUGCUCCAUUAGCUUUCCAAAGAGAGCAGCAGUUCCUAGCUUUAACAGAUCAUGACUUUCAGAUAUGGCAGUCACCUUUGGUUGCCAGUUUCUGUUGAGGCACUUUAAUAUCUUUAUGUUGAGUUCCUCUCUGUCAAAUUCUUUUCCCAAACCAGUAAGGUGAUUCACAAUACGAGUGAACCUUUUCUGCACAUUAGCAAUGCUCUCCUCGAGUUGCAUUUUAAACAAUUCAUAUUCUUGGAUGAGAGCAUGUUUUCUUGACCUCUUCACAUCUUCAGUACCCUCAUGAGUGACUUCUAAGACUUCCCACAUCUCCUUAGCUGACUUACAUUGGGAUAUCCUGAAGAACUCAUCCAUUGUUAAUGCAGAGGUUAUGAUGUUCUUGGCCACAAGAUCAUGUUGAGUCUUCCUCCUUUUGGUCUCAUUCUAUUCAGAUCUUGGUACACUUGCUGAAAAACCCUAAACCUUUGUGAUUUUCGAAAUCUUUUAAGAACAGAUGUUAAUUCCUUGUAAAUCCUCAAUUCUCUAAUGCAAAACUUGUUUUUACAAUUGUAUGAUCGAUUGUUAAACUCAUAAACAAGUUUUCAUUUUAUAGAAAACCAACUUAUAACAAAUUUUUGAAAAACAGUUAAAGCUGUUAUAAAAUGAACAAAUUGAAAAUAAAAUGAACAGAUUUAUUUUCAGAAAGCUGUUAGAGAAUUUGUUAUGAGAGGAGACUUAGUCAACCAUUCUGGUGCAGGGACAAAACUGAAAACCGUUUAAGAUAGCCAUGGCACCAGAGUCAAAAAGAAUCUAUUCAUUUACAGAUGAACAGAUUUAUUUUUCAAAACGAAAACAGAAAAAGCUUAACUAUUUAAAACUCAAUCGUUUUGAAAGGUAGAAGACUUAGUCAAAAUGCUUGAUGCACAAAAUCUAAUUUUCACAAGACUUAGCCGAGGCAUCAGUUUAAAAAAGAAUUUGUUUAUUUAGAAAAGAACAUAUUUAUUUUUAUGUAGUAAACGUGUUUUUUGUAAAAUAUGUGAAAAAAAAUUUAAGAAACCUUAUGCUUGUUCUUAUCACAUGGCCAGUGGUUAGGAGGUGAGUUACUCAGCAAAAAAACCUACUCUUAAACAACCUCUAAACACGACCUAAGACAUUCUUAAAGCAAAUUUAAAUAUACAUGAAUUGUACACAAAAGUCUUCAUCAAACACAUGUCUUAAAGGGGCAACAACCAUCUUCAACAAUAUAUAGUCCCAACAAGAUGAUGUUUGAAUGUGAAAAAUGUCUCCAUUAAAUGUUUAUGAAUAGUAAUUAUAUUUCACUUUUUUAUUGUUAUCCAAAACAUAUCUUUGCUGUUUCUAUCCAAUAUCAAUUCUAUUUCACGCAACAUCCUUAUUUCUAGGUGGAAGUGUUAAAAGAUGUACUGACACACAAUUGCAACCAUUUCCCAACAUCAAUAAACAGUCAAUAAAAAAAUAAUUAUUUUAACUUUAUUUUUCAACCAUAUUAAAAAAAACAAUCACUUUAUUCACGAAAUUCUCCUGUGAAACUUCUAGAUUGCUUUUUUAAUUUAUGCAUGAAACUUCAUCCCGAAACCACACAUGUCAUUACCAUUUCUUGUUCUCCAUUCAUCAUUCGCCCCAAACAAAAUUGUGAAUCCAAACCUAACUCCAAAUUCUCCAUUCAUCCUUACCUCCCAACAAAAUUUUUGAAACCUAGCUAUGACACAAAACCAGAGUAUCUAAUUGGAAACGAACCUAGAAUAUGACCACAGUGUCAGGCGAGGCAACUCGACGCAAAAUGACAACAAGGCGACUAUUCCAUAACAGUGAGAAACGACAAGGCAAUAGUGAGCGAUGGCGAGAGAGACAAUGAAGCCUUAAGUGAAACACGAAUAAAAAUUGGUACAAAACAAAAUAAAUUUGAAAUUUAACUUGAGACUCGCUAGUUUGACUGGUUCUACCAAUUUUGGCUCGAGUUUGCUGAAAAAUGAGUUUGUUCAUGAGUUGACUUGUGACCCAAAAGUAGAUUUUUAAACUUGGACAAGUUAGCAAGUUGAGUCACGAGUUUGAUAAUCAUGUACUUGUAUUGUUUUCUUACGCUAUGAGUCUUUUACAAGAUUCACCUUUUUUGGAUGACACAUUAACUUUAAAUACAAUCCUUUUAAGGUCAUUACAAUGUUGAACAUGUGAAACUGAGAAACAUAAAGGGAAUCCCUCUAGAUCUUCAAGGCAGUACCAUUACCACCAUCAUUAUGUCACAAGUUGAGCAAUUCAUCUAUUGGAUUUUUAGAUUCUUAUAAAUAUUGUUCAUCAUUCUCUAUCCAAGUCUCUAAUUUACCUUUUAGUUUUAUGACUCAACAUGAGUCAUUUUAUGAGUCAUUUUAUUGACACUAGUCUCAUUUAGGCACCAAGUCAAAUUUUUACUUCUAUGUGGGAAGAUGACUCUAACGUUUUCUCAAAGAAUGUAUAUAAAUCUUUACAUUGAUGAUAUGUUGCUUAUCUACUUUCACAAUUGAUUAGAACCAGAUCAUGAGACAACUAUAACCUAUAACUCACUCCACACUUGUUAAGCAACUAUUUAUUCCAUAUUCUUCUAAUUUGAUAAUAUCACUUUUUAUUCAUCACAAACUAAAAGCAUUGUAAUUGACGUAGAGUCGAUUCAUCCAAUAGAUUAUACUUGGACCCUUUAAGGUAGAUAUCUCAAAUUCACUUAAAAAUGUUACACCAAAAUAAAUGUUAUUGUAAGAGUAUUAACCUAAAAGACAACUUCAAAAUCUACAAACAAACAUAUUACACUAACAUAUGUUCAAUAUCAAAUUACACACUAUAUAAAAAUAAUCAUGUAUAUAUUUAAAUGUAACUAACUUUUAGAAUUAACAAACUUUUAGAAUUAAGAUAAAAAAUUAUCUUGAUGUAAUAAUGAAUGUGCACCUUGACCACUUUCUCAAUUUUUUCUUUUUCAAUAAUUUUAUCUUCAUUCAUUAUAAUAUAAACAAAAUCUCAAAAAUUAUUUUUAAACUUUCAACUAAAAACUUUUAGUUAUAUUUAAAGUAGACAUAAACAAAUAUAUGCACAUGCAAAAAUAAUCUACUACUAGGGAUGACAAAGCAAGGCGGAUCAACCCGUUAAGAAAUAACACAGUGCAGAAGUACCGUUCAAAUAUCUGGGUCUGGAGGUGGGAGGGAACCCAAGAAAGAAGCAAUUCUGAGAACCAGUUAUAAGUAAGUUGAAAGCAAAACUCAGUGUUUGGAAGCGGAGAUUUUUAUCCAUGGCAGGGAGGAUAUGCUUAAUUAAUUCUGUUCUAACCGCAAUUCCUUUGUUUUACCUCUCUCUUUUCAGAGUACCAGCUUCGGUGUGUAAAAGGAUUAUUAGUAUUCAAAGAAGAUUUUUGUGGGGCUGGGGGAAACUAACCAAGCCAAUUGCUUGGGUUAGCUGGAAUGAUGUUUGUAGACCAAAAGAGGAGGGAGGGUUGGGGUGUAGGGAUAUACGCCUGUUUAAUCAAGCUCUACUAGCCAAGUGGAGAUGACAAUGUCUUUCGGAGGAGAAUGGAAGAUGGAAGAUGUUGUUGGAUUCUAAAUACAACCUGGGGGAUGAAAACAGUCAAACACCUGUCAAAUAUCAAUCUUGGUGGUGGAAAGACUAAAGUGUGCAAGGUUGGUGGAGGAAGAUGGUGGUUUCAGGAAGAGCUAGGUUGGGAAGUAGGUUGUGGUGAUAAAGCAAAGUUCUGGGAGGAUGUAUGAAUUGGUAGUGUCGAUCUUUAGUCCUUGUUCCCGCGCUUAUACUCUUUAUCUUUAAACCAAGGUAAAGCAGUGGGGGAGAUGGGUGUAUGGGAUGAUACGGAGUGGAGGUGGGACUUGAGGUGGAGGCGUGACAGAUUUGUAUGGGAAUCUUCUCUGGAGAGGGACCUUACUAUGCUUCUAUCAAGGGUCAUUAUGAGAAAGAAUGUCCAGGAUAUCCAGGUUUGGGGGAAGGAGAUACUGGGGCUGUUUUCGGUGAGCUUGGCGUAUGAGUGUCUAUCUAAGCAUGGUAGAGGGAACAAUGACGAAGUGUUUAAGCUCCUGUGGAAGGUGAAGGCCUUUCCAAAUGUUUUGGUAACAACCUGGAGGGUGUUUAAGGGGAGAAUCCCCACUAGAGUGAGUUUGAGCCAGAGAGGGAUGAUGUUGAACUCAACAGUGUGUCCCUUGUGUUUGCUACAAGAAGAGACCUGUCAACAUCUUUUCAUGGAUUGUAAAUAUGCUCAACAAGUAUGGUCCCAAUGCCUUCAGUGGGUAGGCAUUUCCUUUGUUGAGCAUCAUGAUCUUAAGCGGCAUUUCCUAAGUUUCCACUUGUUUUAAGAUAGUAACAAGCAGAAUAAGAUCUGCAAAGGGGUAUGGGUAUUGUUAUUAGAAGUAUAUGGGACCAAAGGAAUUUGAUUACCUUUCAGCAAGGGGUAGUAGAUGCAGAGGAGAUAUUCUAGAGGGCCCAACUUAAGUCUUGGUUGUGGCUGAAGCAUAAAGCCCGUUCGUUUUCUUACUCUUUUACAGAUUGGGUUUUUAACCCAAUUAUCUGCAUUAAAAGCUGCUAAUGUUUCCUGGUUUUGUGUCUUCUGAAGAAGCUGGUAUUUCUGGUUGGUAUCAUGUGAAGGUUAUGGUUCGGAUGGAACCUGUGAUGGUGAAGGAGUGAAUCCCUUAGGGGUUAGCUGUUGUUACCUGUAUUGGGGUUGGUCUUCAAGCAUUUUUUGCAGGAACACGAAGCAUCUUCAUAAAGGAGUCAUAACACGGGAACAACUGUUUUGUUGUGGCAGGGUGGUCUUCUGCAGUUUCUGGAGUCACGGGGCGUGCUUAGAUCAAGGUUGGAUGCUUUGGAGGGGAGCUGAGGUUGGGUUUGAGCCACGCAUUUCAGGGGGGUAGAGAUAGCUUGGUUGAGGAAUGUGAAGUUGUGGUAAUGACUAACCAAGGCGUUAAGCCGGGUUACGUGUAAAGGUGGACUGGUGGCUGGUUGGCUGGUUGGACUGCUAUAAUACGUAUGUGUAGGGGAGGGUCGGUGAAGGAAUGAAGGUUUCAAGUGGAGAGGGUGUGAUUAGAAGGGUGCCGGUUGGGGAGCAGCUUGGAAAACUGGUGAAGAAUAGGAUUUUGUAGGUGUUGUUGUGCUGUUCUUUGGAGUGCAGUUGGGUUUUGGGUGCUGCUAUUUUUAUUGUUACUAUCAUUUUGGUUCUUUCAUAAGUGUUGGUUUGGGUUUGGCAUUCCCUUUUGUAGGUUUAGGCUUUUUGGUUAUACUUUCUUUUGUGGAAGUGUAACUUUGUGGUUGUAGUAUACGGGUUGGGAUACCCCUUAAGUAUCCCCCUUAAUUUUAUUCAUUUAUUGCUGAUAAAAAAAAAACAAUGCAGGCAUCAUAUUUCAACUUGUUGACUUGCUUAGGUUCACCUCGCAUAACUCGCAGUCCACACGGGCCAACGGGAUAGGCUGACUCAUAACCCACAUAUUCUAAAAAAUUAUAGACUUAUUCAUUCUAAAAUUUAUAAUCUGUAAUACAAAAUUGUAUUAUAAACUGUACAAUCUAGACUAUUGUACAAUCUAUAACUAUAUAUAGCUGCAAGAAGAAACUUUCCUCAAUCCCUAGUUCAUAACACCUUCAUGAAAUUUUAUAAUAGUUUUUUUUUUCCUUUUUAAAAUGCAUAAAUUGUCUAGGUUUCAAUAUUCAAAUGUUAAAUGCACUAGUCAAACUUUAGCCUUUUUAUAAUAAAAUUUAAAUAUAAUAAUAAUAUUAUAUAUAUAUAUAUAUUUUAAAUUAGAAUAGUAAUCAUGUGUCUACCUGUAUUAUCUUUGAAACGUAUAUAUUUAAAAAAAUAUUUAUUAGUCAAUUUAUUAGUAUGAUCAAAAUUCAAACUUCAUUGAAAAUCAAAAUAUUAUUAUAAUUUUUUUAUCCAUAUUUUAUUACAUGUGUCGUGAGAAUAAUACUAUGAAACUAUUAUUACCUAAUUCAUUUAAAUAAGAAAAAAAAAUUAAUAAACAAAACAAAAGUUUAUUAAAAAAUUAUAUUUAAUUUUUUUUCAUUAAUUAAAAAAAAAAUCUUAUGUGGAUCGGCUCGUGGGUUAGCUAGCAUGCGAGGCGGGCCAAUAAAAGCAACUAAUAUAUUUUACACAGGACGAACCAACUUGGCCUGUAUUUUAUGGGCCAAAUGCAAGGCGGACGGACCUGCAUUACCAUUCAUACCCACUACCUUCAGGUUAUCCUAAGGACGAACAACUCUAAUACCAUAAAUGUAACACCCCCAAAUUUAUUGUACACUUAUUACAAAGUUUAUUGUAAUAUAAUUUCAUUAUUAAAAAACUAUAUAAAUCAUACAUGAAUUUAUACAUUAAGGAUAUUUAAUCCAUUUCUGCUCAAGCUAAAAUAUUCCCGCUCAACUUAAAAAAAAAAACUUUUUUUUCUUCUUGUCUCAUCAAUGAAUUUGAUUCUUUAGCAAAAAUAGUGUUAAAACACAAGUUUGAGUGCAUGGUUACUUUCGCUCGAGCAAGAAUUGACUUGUUGGAGAAAAAUAUCAACUAUUGCAAUAAUACAAAGUCAUUUUUAAAGUUGUACCUUAAAACCAAUUCAAACUCAAACAUUAAAAAUAAGUUCAACAACACACAACAUCAAAUAGGGCAUGAAGUGUUCACAUCACUCUUUAGUUUAUUUUAUUAUGCUAAGGAUCUGCCAAAAAUAUAAUUAUUUUUUCUUACGUGAAAUUCCUUAUUUCAAGAAAAAAUCUACCUCAAGCAAAAGAACCACUCAAAAUUUAAAGACCUAAAGCAAAAUAUUCAAACUUAAUUAAAUUUGAAUAAAAGGUUAAUCAAGUUGAUGAUCGCUUUUGGCAACUAAUUUUACCAAGAUGGAUGACAUAAUUAUAAGAAAAUAAAAAAUAAAGAAUAUUCAGGGUAAAUAAGAACUUAUCUUGUUUUGAAAAUCUAAUUAGAUAAAAAUAAUUUCUAAAUCUUUAGCUAUUGUAGGGUGUGAUCAAAAUUUAAAAUAAAUGAAGUGUGAAAAGCAGAAAAGUAGAAUGAAAGGUCAUGAAAAUGGCCAAUUGCAGUAAAAGAGAGUGUCAAAACAAGAAUCGUGAAUACAGAGAAGUUCAGAGAAAAAAUGAGGAGAAGCUUUGAGAGAGAGAAAAGAUGAGUGAAAGAGGGUUUCAUUAAUCAAUCUAUGAAAAUGUACAGUGUCAUGUGUUUUUACAAAAGGUAAAAGAAUAGGCAAUUUCUUCUUGCACCCCUACGUUUUUCUUCCUGCACCCCCACAAUGUAAUGUAAAGACAAAAAUAUCCCUAUUAUUUUUUAAAAAUUCCAAAAUACACAUAAGACCCACAAUACUCUUUCUUCUUCCGGACAAUGCAAUUUGGUAAUUUUAUGGAAUAGGAAAUCCGCAUUUAUUUUUUUGCAUUUUGAAUUGGGAAAUCCAUAAAUCUUCCGAAUUGGUGAAUCUGGUAAUCUUCCGGAUUGGUGAAUCCGGUAAUCUUCCGGAUCCAUCAAUCCGUAACAAAAAUUAGACUUCUGGAUUCAGUAAUCCAGAAAUCAACAAGUUGCUUUUGAAACACCCCUUUAUUUGAAAAAGAACACGAAUCACUUCUGGAUUGAUGAAUCCGUAGCACACUCCCGGAUCCCAAUAUCUGGUAACCUAAAAAACUCUAGUUUUUUUAAAAUAAAAGGUGAAGGUCAGUUUUGGGAUUUACAAAAUUUUGGGGGUGCAGGAAAAAAAUGUAGGGGUGUAGGAAGAAGAAGCCAAAAGAAUAUAGGCGGGUGUUUCUUCCUGCACCCCCACAGUCUUGUGCAAAGACAAAAUUGCCCUUUAAAAUUUUUGAAAUUACAAAAUUACCCUUGAUGUAAUAAAACCCUAAAAAGUUAAAAUGAUGGUCAUUUGUGCGUGGUGGCCGGCCGUCUUCUUCGAUAGCACAGGUCUUCUUCAGCAGCAAUCUCUUGCAAUAGCUUCUUCUUCCAAAUCUCAUCCAUCUCUCAUUCAUAAAGGUACAUUCAUGUGUUUCGGAUUUUGGUAUCCGUUUUUUUCAUGGAUUGUUGUUUCCGUAAAUAUUAUUUCACAUUCCAAAUCACAGAAUCCGGUAAGUUUUCGAAUUUGGGGAUCCGGUAGUUUCCCGGAUUUGUGGAUCCGUUAGUUUCCUGGAUGUAAGGAUCAGGUAGUAUUCCGGAUUUAGGAAUCCGGUAGUGUUCUGGAUUUAGGUGAAGUUUAACACCCUUUUUUCUUUCAUUUUCACCCAUGUCACUCCUUAGUACUAAUUCUUCAAGCUGUAAGAGAGGCAUCCACUAGUCUUGGAGUUGAAAUUAGUAAAGUCUUGUAGUUAUUGUUAUAACAUCUUUACCAUAUAUGCUUAUUCCUUGUAUAUUUUUCUCUGGUUAGUUUGAAGUUUUAAUAUUUAUUUCACUUUCCAGUUUUUAUAUUCCUUUCAAGGAAGUCAUGACUCGCAAACUCAUUAGUAAUCACAAUGUCGGUAAUGCAAGUAAAGCAUUCCGGAUUCAUGAAUCCAUAACACAAAAUACUGUACCGGAUCAACCCAUCCGUAAUGAAAUUUUAGCUUCCAGAUUCACAAAUCCGGAGAACAACAUAUUAUUGCAUUUUACUUCUGGAACACCCCCUCAUCCGGAACACAUUAUUUCAUUUAUUCCGGAUUCAUGAAUCCGGAAGGUAUUACCGGAUUCCGAUAUCCGGUAAUCCCGAAAUUUCCAUAACCACCGUGUUUCUUAAAAAAAACCUUUACUCUUACCUCUAUAACCCAGACAACAGUUCGGCAACGUUGUGUACUCCUCCGCCUUUCUUCCAACAAUUAUGAAGAACCUCCGCAACACUUGAAACCCAAGGAUGAAGAUGAGCAGUGACUGUGGAAGUGCUGAACGUUGCCCUUUUCAAAUUUUUGCUCAAGGUUAAUGUUGGAAUAUUGAAAAUUGUGGGGGUGCAGGAAGAAAAACGUGGGGGUGCAGGAAGAACAAGCCAAUAUAGGCACUAGUAAGAGCCCAAAAACCCACAAAGAGCCCAAAAACAGAAAAGAGAAAAAAUAGAAUAGCUGCAGUAACAGAAUAAUAUUCUAAUACAAAUACACUAACAGAAUGAUAUUUUAACAAAAGGAAAGAAAGUGAAGGCAGAAAAAAUUACAAUUAUUCUCAACAACAACAAAAUUGUAUCAUUCAGAAAUUAUAUUAUUUACAAAAAAUAUUAAAAUAUAAUUUCUUAUCUUUUUUUUUUCAUCUCUGAAUUGGAAUUAUGUAUAUGAAAUCUUAAAAAAACGACUAUAUUUAUAUUUUUAUCAUGAAAUUGCUUUAUUUGAAAAUCUAAAAUUUUAACAGACUUUUCUAAAAAUAUAUAUUUUCUUUUACUUACACUGAAUUAUAUUCUAAAUUAUAAUUGAAUUGUGUAUAUAUUUUUGUAGUUGCAAUAAAUAAAAAAUAUUAUAAUAGAAGAGAUCAAACAAAUUCUUAUUAAUUUUUAUGUAUUUGAAAUUAUUCUCUUGAAAAUAUGAUAACGACCUAUAAUUUAUGAGUCAAAUUUUUAUAUUAAAUCGUCUUUUUUACACUCUAAGAAAAACAUACUUACUAAAGUAUGAAUUUAAAGUUGUUCUUAUUUCAUCUGUAUAAAAUUGUUGCCGACUAAAACUGUUUUGAAAAUUGGAUUUACAAUUGAUAAUAACAGAUGAAAAAUACCUUAAAUUAAUAUACAGUAUAUUUAUUAAAAGAUCACCAUUAUUUAAUAAUAAAAAUUAUUUGUUUUUGAAAUAUAAAAAAAUCGAUGGAACUUAUAAUAUAUAACUAUUUAUAUUAAAAGUUCUUUUUAUGUAAAUUAUUUUUAUAAUUUAUGCUAUUAAUUAUUGGUGAGAUCAUAGUCUCUUUCCCUUAAAAAAAAUAAAAAUAAAACAUUAAGUGUGGAUGACAAUAACUUUUGUCCAGCUACAUUAUAUAAUAUUAAUAUUACCCAUCGCAUAUAACUUUAGUUUUAUUAUUCAAACUAUUUAUUUAUGACUUAAUUUAAAUAAACAUCCUCAUGAAAUUUCCCGCUAAGUGAGUUGGCGCCCAAAAUCCUCUCUUAUAUAUAAAGACAGUAACAGUGAACCAAAGAAACACAACAAAACUCUAAGUGAGUUGGCGCCCAAAAUCCUCUCUUAUAUAUAAAGACAGUAACAGUGAACAAAGAAACACAAUUUCUAGCCAUUCCAACUCUCCAAUUUCAAGCGUCAAAUGUACUCUUCUCUCUUCUGUAACUUACCAUCUUUUUGGAAAUCUCCAGAGUUGAAACCAAAUCCUACAGCGUGAAACUGAAACCCCGAUUGAAAUAUUAUGUUUUGGUCAAUAUCCAAGAUCAGUUUGUUGGUAUUGCUUUGAUGAUUCUCAAUAAGGUUUUGUGGAAUUACAUGAUGUUUGCGUCGUGGGAUAGAAGAGUUAUUAAGAAUUAUUAGUAAGUGAUCAAUGUGCUUUUAUCGGAUUGUGAUUCAUUUACGCCGAAUGUGAUUCUUUGUGAUGAUGGCGAGUUUUAAAUCUUUUUUGUCUAUGGAUGAAAUGAAAAACAUAAUAGUUCAGAAAGGCCAAUUGAUCCAGGUGUUGCAUAGCAUUGAGCCUGGUAUGACUUUCUCUUUGGCUUUUCAUUCUUGAAUUUAUGGAUUCAUCUUCUCUAGUUUCUAUAGCUUCUAUUAAGAGCGCCUAGUAGGACUUUCUCUAUUGGCUUUUCUUUCUUGAAUUCAUCUUGUCUAGUUUCUAUAACUUCUAUUAAGGGUGUCAAUGGUUUUCUUUAAUUCUUGGGCUUUACAACUAACACAACCAAUGAAUCAUUUGAAGGUAUUUGAGUAAUUUUGGACUUUGUCACCAACCAUAUGGGUUGAACUGUGAACUGGUUUCUCUACUGUAAUAUUUGGAAGUGUUUCUUGGAAUCUUUCCGUGUUGUGUCGAGCCUAUGAGCGGCUCCCUUGGUUUUGAAAUUUUGAAUUUACCUUAACCUUUCUAUACUAUGUCAUAUCAUCUCUUUAAAAGAGGUUAGCUUUCUCGAAUCCCCAUGAUUCUUGUUCGGCUUUUAUUGGAAGGCAAUAUAAAUGUGGGCUGGUAUCAGAAACAGUGAAUGGCGGUCCAGUGAAACUUUAGGUUUUAUUAUCUUUGCGGUUAUUCUUUUGGCUAAACUUGAGGAGUGGGGUUCUUGUAGACAGGCACUAUAUGACUAUGAGAGGCUUUGACAUUUGUGUUUGUGUCUUCGACUUUGAUUAUCUUCUUCUACAUGUUGCAGUGACUUUCUACAUGUUGCACUGACUUACUAUGGAUGUCUGUUGGAUUGUGGAGGCAAUUGCCGUAGAUUAUUGGACUUGUGAAGCUUUAGGUUUUAUUAUGUUUCCAUUCACUAUCUUAUGUGCUUGAUUUGAAAUGGCUAUAUUCUCUCUUAUUGGUUGAAUAGUAGGAAGCUACACGUGUCAGUCACUGUGUGUCUAAGCUAGGGCGAUUCUUAAUUAUGCUUAUCCUUUAUCUCAUGAUCCCAACUAUCUUCCAAAAUGAGAAUGUUCUCCAUAAUGACAGUAAUAUUUAGUUAUAUUUCCAAUAUGAGAAUGAAAAACUAUCUCUCAAGGCUAUGAGUGACCUAUUCCAAAAGGAAAGCUCCAACAUGAGAGCUCUAUUUACUUCUUUCGGGUUGGGGUCUCAGUAUUUGUGAUAGGAUAUGGAAGCAGACUGUAUCUUAUUUCUAACUAUAUUUCUCAAUCUUAGUCCCUUGCUGAUUUUGGUCUUUAUUAUUUAAUGUUUUUGGACUUGAUCACCUAACAUAUGGGCUGAACUGUUGUUUAUCUACAAUAGUAUUUCAAAGUGUUUUUGUNNNNNNNNNNNNNNNNNNNNNNNNNNNNNNNNNNNNNNNNNNNNNNNNNNNNNNNNNNNNNNNNNNNNNNNNNNNNNNNNNNNNNNNNNNNNNNNNNNNNUUGAUAUUUGUGAAUUUUCUUAUUGUUUCUGUACUUUGUCAUGUCAUCUUUUUAAGAAGAUUAGUUUUCUCAAAUUGCCACGAGUCUUCUUGAGCUUUGCCACCAGUUAAACUUUAGGUUUUAUUAACUUUGCAUUUAUGAUGCUGAUAAAAAACAUCUUUGCAUUCAUUAUUUUCUUUGCUGUUAUUCUUUUUGCUACUCUUGUGGAGUCGGAGUUCUUGUAAUUGGGCCUUUGACUUUGAUGAUUUGAUUAUCUUCUACUUGUGUUGUACUGAACUUUGAGCUUUGCCAUGAGACUUCUUGAGCUUUGCCAUGAGUCUUCGUGAGCUGCCAUGAGUCUUUGUGAGCUGCCAUGAGUCUUCUUGUGCUUUGCCAUGAGUCUUUGUGAGCUGCCAUGAGUCUUUGUGAGCUGCCAUGAGUCUUCUUGAGCUUUGCCAUGAGUCUUCUUGUGCUUUGCCAUGAGUCUUCUUGAGCUUUGCCAUGAGUCUUCUUCAGCUUUGCCAUGAGACUUCUUGAGCUUCGUCACGAGACUUCUUGAGCUUUGCCAUGAGUCUUCGUGAGCUUUGCCAUGAGUCUUCUUGAGCUUUGCCAUGAAUCUUCUUGAGCUUUUACAUGAAGGAUGUAGGGUUCAGGUUUUGGAAACAGUGGAUGGAGAUACAGUUAAAGUUUAGGUUUUAUUAUCUUUGCAUUCAUUAUUUUCGUUGUUGUUAUUCUUUUUGCUACUCUUGUGGAGUGGGAGUUCUUGUAAUUGGGCCUUUGACUUUGAUGAUUUGAUUAUCUUCUACUUGUGUUGUAGUGAACUUUGAGCUUUGCCAUGAUUCUUCUUGAGCUUUGCCAUGAGACUUGUUGAGCUUUGCAAUGAGACUUGUUGAGCUUUUACAUGAAGGAUGUAGGGGUCAGGUUUUGGAAACAGCGGAUGGAGAUACAGUUAAAGUUUAGGUUUUAUUAUCUUUACAUUUAUUAUGCUGAUAAAAAAAAAAUUGCAUUCAUUAUUUUCUUUGCUGUUAUUCUUUUUGCUACUCUUGUGGAGCGGGAGUUCUUGUAAUUGGGCCUUUGACUUUGAUGAUCUGAUUAUCUUUUUCUAUUUGUGUUGGAAUGAACACUUACCAUGGAUGUUUGUUGGACAUAUUGUGAAGCUUCAGGUUUUAUUACUUUUCUACUCACUAUUUUUCUUAUUUGCUCGAUUUGGAAUGUCUACAGUUUCUCUUAUUGGCUGGAUAGUUGGAAGGUAUUUCAUUGUAUGUAUCUAAGCAAGAGUGAUGCGUCUAGGUCCUCCAUCAUCUACCGUUAUUGAUUAUAGUUUUCUUGAAUUCAUUGGCCUUACAGGAAAGCUAAGCAAUGAAGUGUGGUGUAGGAUGUAAAAAUGGUGGGUCGAAAUUCUGUGGUGAAGCUAAAUGUUUCUUUCACCAGGACAUUGUUGUGUUCAACUGAUUUAAUUUUUAACUGGCUCAACUUGUCGGUUUGAUUAUAAUCUUGUUUGUAACUUGUUGGUUUGAUUAUAAUCUUGGUUGUAUUUUGAUAAUGUAUGUUUCUAAGAGGCAUUGUGGGAUGAGAAUGAGACAAGUACAGUUGAACUUUACUCUUUGAUUUGAUGGUUUGCUUCUUGGUUUGAAAAGUUCUACUAUUUAAUUUUGAUGACUUCUCUGCAUAAUUCUAUAAUAUAGGUCUUUUGUUCUAUAUAGGUCUUUUGUUCUUUUAAUAAUUUUCCAAAACCUUUCGAUUCAUUAUUCUUGAUCCCGAACAUAUGGGUUGAGUUGUGAACUUCUUUGGACUUUUUGCAUGUAACUCUUACGCUGAAAUUAGUAUAAGAAUGAUCCUGAAAUUGAAAUUGUUUAAAUGCUUCACUUUUGUUUCAACAAUCUCCAUAUGUGUUUCUCGUUCCUUGAGUUUUGAAAUUUGCAUUUAUUUGUUUGCAACACAUUGAGUCUUUAUCUGAGGUUUCUCUUUCAGUUGAUUAACUCAACCAGUGAUGGAAUAUAGUGGGACGACUAACAUGUCUAUUCAAGCAGUUAUAGAUUUUUUUUCUUUUUUUUCCUUUAUUGUUUAUUGAGUUGAGUGUUUUCAAAAUAUUUCUGUAGCCACUUGGGAUUGAAAGUCCAACGUUAUGCCUGACAUUGGAUAAUUGGACUUCUUUUAUUAGUUUUCCAAACCGUUCAUUUUUUUCAUAUUUGUUCUAUUUGGACAGGAAUUGUAGGUGAGAAAGAUAAUGGAGUUUUGGAGGUGAAUUUGUUUAAUAUUUGUUCUAUUUGGACAGGAAUUGUAUGUGAAAAAGAUAAUGAAGUUUUGGAGGUGAAUUUGUUAAUUCCAGUGAAAACGACGAAGAACUCUUGAUAAAGUAAUUUUCUUUGUUAUUAUAUUUCUCUACCCAAUCCAGGUGUUGCAUUAAUCCCUUUGCAGCAUACAGAACUGUAACCGAUCUUAAGUUUGUAUGCAACGAUGUUUUUGGAAAUUUUGUGUCACAAACUUAUUAUUAGGAGACUACGACUUCCUUGGUUUUAUCUGAUCAUUCUGGACUUGCUAUCUUCUUCUGUGGGUUUUGGUUAGGUUUCAAUUUUCAGUAAUGUCUGGUAUGUUGACAGUAUUGGAUUUCCUUGUUUGCAUUUCAAAAACUGAACCAAUCUCAAGGCAUUACGCUUCUAUAGUUGGAGUAGUAUGAGACAACUUUGUUUCUCUGAAAUUUAGAGAGUCUCUUUAAUAUUGCAUGGUAAUUUUUUUAUACGAUGUACAAGUAUAUCCAGUUUUAUUUGGAUAUUUUUUAGCAACAAUGCUUUUGGAAUAGGAUUUGUUUGAGCGCUACCAUGAGAAAGUUCAAUUUGAAACGACAACCACUCAUAAUAGCCUAAUUUCUUCUAUAUGAGGUUUCCCCUUUUAUUUAACUUCUAAGGAAUUGAUUACCAACAUUAGGAUUGAAUUGUGAUUUGUUUUUCUACAGUGGUUUAUGAUUGUAUUCAAACAAUGUUUGGAUCUCAUCGAACCUUUAAUGAGUUGAUUUCUGAGUUUAAGAAUUCGUCUAAUAUUUUCUAAAAUUCCUCCCAUGGAACAAGUGUUUUAAGUUUUCUUGAAUUUUUUCUAUUUACCGGUAAGACAAGCAAUGGAUGUGUGAGGACAUGUAGAAACAUGCGGAUCAAUUAAAGCCUUAGUUUGUGUUAAUUCGUGACUAGCUAUUUGAAUGCAGUUUUUUAUGUGGUGACAAAGAUCUAUCAAAAUAAAAAAAUUGGUUUAGGAUUUCCUCUCUAUUUGAUAUUUUCAGAUUUGAUCACCAAAUAUAAGGAUUUUCCGUUACCAUUUGUUUUUCUGCAGUGAUGUUUGCAUUAUGUUUCAUGCUACGUCUAAUGGAUCAUGUUGUCUGGAAGGUUUUAUGGCUCUUGGUAACAGGCUUUACAAGUGCUUCAGAGGAUCAGUAGUUUCAGAGCUGAUACCUAUUAUCAUAAUUGUGUCUCGCAGUGUGAAUUGUUCAAGUUUAUUUAUUUGCAAAAGGGAUCAGUUCUCCAAUAAUUUUUGCAGAAGAUUGGAUGGCUAACAUUAUUGUUCGUUCAUUUGAUCCAGUAAGAGCUCAUUCUAGAAAUGUGGACUUCUCUUUAAAAGCCUUUAGUAUGUUUACUAUCUUCAAAAGAUAUUUUUUCUGGAUCUAUUGUUUUGACAGAGCAGGUCUUCGAGGAAGUCACGGGUCUCUUAGAUUUGGAAUUGUUCAAGUACCAUCAACAUGAUUUCAUGAUCUCUUAUGAUUUCCCCUGAAUUUUUGGUUGUUGUUUUGACAGGGUAGGGUUUGGGUAGAGUUUGGGUUUUUGGAUUAGGAAUUGUCCAACUACCAACAAUGUGUAAACCCUAAACCCUAAACCCUAAAUAUAUAUAUAUAUAUAUAUUUUUGCUAGUUUUAUUUUUCAUUGAAUUACUUAAUUGCUUUAUUAAUAUGAUCAUUUGAUUAUAAAAUUAUUCUUGGUAGUUAUAUAAUUAUUCAUGGUUGUUUUAUUACCUUUAAUAGUUAUUGUUGUUGGAAAAGUAAUCUAGAAGUCCUUUGUUGGCUAAUGAUUCUCUAACAUUUUUUUUUUAAAUUUCAUAGUAGUUGUAUUUUGCUUUGACAAUUUAGUUUAGUUUUUUUAUUGAUUCCUGCAUCGACAAAUGAAUUUUGAACUUGUUCUUGCAUAAUUUAUCAUGGGAUAAAAUGAAUUGGUGGUGUAGGUUUGGAAAACAGUGGAUCUGGACCCUGUGGAACUUUGGUUUUAUUCUGUGUUUAUUAUUUUCUUUGAUGCUAUUAUGCACGGAUAAACUUGUGGACUGGGAAUGCUUACCUCUUUAUGACAGGCAUUGUAAACGUCUGUGUCAGCCAUUUAAUUUUCUCUUUCUAGUUCACACUCAGACAUUUCUUUCAGCAACUGAGUCAUUUAAUCGCAAAGAGAGUUUUGUUUCCUUUCAUGUUCUUUGUUGUCAAUACAACCUUUGUUUCUUUCUUAUCAGCUAUAGUAUUUAAUUCAAUGCGAUCUCAGGAUGUGUUACUUGGAAGUGAUGUGGUUAUUCAUUCGAGGAUUGAUGUGUUAUUUGGAAGUGAGGUGAGGCUAUCUGAAUACCGGAAGGAGAUCCAUUCUCUUUGAUGACAGAUGCCUACUUGAGUUUGGAUGUAGUUAUUUAUUUGAUGACAGAGAUCUAUCAUAUGUAACUUUCUGUUAGUUCCUUUUCAACAGGGGAUUCUGGUUGAGGAUUAAAAAACAUAAAUUUGAAUAUUGUUUUUGUCUAAUUAUUGAAAUAUGACAAAUCUAGCGGUUUGAUAUGUGAAUAUGUUGAUUCUUUUUCAGCAAAUCAUAGGUUAGUAACAAUAAAAUGCUCAGGGAAGAUGUCUCCCCUCUAUUUGAAACUUUGUGGAUUGAGCGUAUUUUUCCAGACUGAUAUGUGAGGUAGGAUGUGGAAACACUUACCAGGACAUUUGUGAAGCUUUAGGUUUUGUUACCCUUACCAUUCUUGUGUCUUUAUUUGUGACUGACUAAACUUCUUGUUUGGAUUCUAAGUUUUGGUUGGAUUCAUUGCUAACCUUGUAGUUUGACUGGCAGU